rnacentral:rRNA from 1 species
GAUGAACGCUGGCGGCGUGCCUAAUACAUGCAAGUCGAGCGAACGGAUGAGAAGCUUGCUUCUCUGAUGUUAGCGGCGGACGGGUGAGUAACACGUGGAUAACCUACCUAUAAGACUGGGAUAACUUCGGGAAACCGGAGCUAAUACCGGAUAAUAUUUUGAACCGCAUGGUUCAAAAGUGAAAGACGGUCUUGCUGUCACUUAUAGAUGGAUCCGCGCUGCAUUAGCUAGUUGGUAAGGUAACGGCUUACCAAGGCAACGAUGCAUAGCCGACCUGAGAGGGGGAGCGGCCACACGGGAAUUGAGACACGGUACAGACGACGACGGGAGGCAGCAGUGGGGAAUCUGCCGCAAUGGGCGAAAGCUUGACGGAGCAACGCAGCGGGAGUGAUGAAGGUCUUCGGAUCGUAAAACUCUGUUAUUAGGGAAGAACAUAUGUGUAAGUAACUGUGCACAUCUUGAAGGUACCUAAUCAGAAAGCCACGGCUAACUACGUG